rnacentral:tRNA from 1 species
GGGUGCUUAGCUCAGCUGGUAGAGCGACGCCUUUACACGGCGAAGGUCGGGGGUUCGAUCCCCUCAGCACCCACCA